CAUUUUUAAAAUGGAUUUACGUUGUUCACAAGAACAGGCUGGAGUGCAAUGGUGUGAUCUUGGCUCACUGCAACCUCCAACUACCAGGUUCAAGCAAUUCUCCUGCCUCAGCCUCCCGAAUAGCUGGGACUACAAGCGCAUGCCACCAUGCCAGGCUCAUUUUUGAAUUUUUAGUAGACACACGGUUUUGCCUUAUUGGCCAGGCUGGUCUCAAACUCCUCACCUCGGGACAUCCACUCGGCUUGGCCUCCCUAAAUGCUGGGAUUACAAGCAUGAGCCACUGCGCCUGACCAGUUUUUAAAUAAAGCACUUUAAAUGAGUUAUUCACAUAUCCCUUGUAUUUAUAUAGGGUACAGCUUUUUGUUUUAAAGCUGUUUGAAUAGUUCUCCAAGUUUCUGAGACUCAACUGCUUUUUUGGCUUAUGAAAUUGCCAUUAAUCAAGAUGCAUUCAUAAGGUAUCAAUUCCCUGAAAUGUAGGUAUUUAGUCCAUUCUAUCUAUCCAUGCAUCUAUCCAUCUGUCCAAUACUUUUUGUUUAAAGUCCCUAGAAUAACCAACCAGCCUUUAUAUGACUGAAUUUGAGAACCUACGGCAAUUAACAUGAUAAAUGUCACACAGAUCCUUAUUGUUUAUUAAGCAACUGAAAAUAGAAAAGCUCAGGGGAAAAUAAUACUUG
rnacentral:lncRNA from 1 species